GACGAACGCUGGCGGCGUGCUUAACACAUGCAAGUCGAGCGGUAAGGCCCUUCGGGGUACACGAGCGGCGAACGGGUCGAGUAACACGUGGGUAACCUGCCCUGUACUCUGGGAUAAGCCUUGGAAACGAGGUCUAAUACCGGAUACGACUACGGAUCGCAUGAUCUGGUGUGGAAAGUUCCGGCGGUACAGGAUGGACC
rnacentral:rRNA from 1 species